GGUCUGACUGGGCGGUCCGCCGAAUCGGUGAGUACUGCCUCAGUUGGAUCCUUCCUUCUGGGGAACCGGUGUGCCCUUUACUGGGUGUGCCGGGGAGCCAGGACAUUUACCUUGAAAAAAUUAGAGUGUUCAAAGCAGGCGCACGCUUGUAUAGAUUAGCAUGGAAUAAUAAAAUAGGACUUUGGUCUUAUUUUGUUGGUUUCUAAGACCACAGUA
rnacentral:rRNA from 1 species